rnacentral:rRNA from 1 species
AGUGAACGCUGGCGGUAGGCCUAACACAUGCAAGUCGAACGGCAGCACAGUAAGAGCUUGCUCUUACGGGUGGCGAGUGGCGGACGGGUGAGGAAUACAUCGGAAUCUACUUUUUCGUGGGGGAUAACGUAGGGAAACUUACGCUAAUACCGCAUACGACCUACGGGUGAAAGCAGGGGAUCUUCGGACCUUGCGCGAUUGAAUGAGCCGAUGUCAGAUUAGCUAGUUGGCGGGGUAAAGGCCCACCAAGGCGACGAUCCGUAGCUGGUCUGAGAGGAUGGUCAGCCACACUGGAACUGAGACACGGUCCAGACUCCUACGGGAGGCAGCAGUGGGGAAUAUUGGACAAUGGGCGCAAGCCUGAUCCAGCCAUACCGCGUGGGUGAAGAAGGCCUUCGGGUUGUAAAGCCCUUUUGUUGGGAAAGAAAAGCAGCAGGUUAAUACCCCGCUGUUCUGACGGUACCCAAAGAAUAAGCACCGGCUAACUUCGUG